GCGAGUUCCGUACGGCCAGCUACGGCUCAGCAAGGCCCCGGGCGGUCUACGAAACCGAAGGUCACAGGUUCGAAUCCUGUCGGGCGCG
rnacentral:tRNA from 1 species